rnacentral:rRNA from 1 species
AUUGAACGCUGGCGGCAUGCUUUACACAUGCAAGUCGAACGGUAACAGGGAGCUUGCUCCGCUGACGAGUGGCGAACGGGUGAGUAAUAUCUCGGAACCUACCCAAUAGUGGGGGAUAACGUCGCGAAAGUUACGCUAAUACCGCAUACGAUCUAUGGAUGAAAGCGGGGGACCUUCGGACCUUGUGCUCCUGGAUCGGCCUAUAUCGGAUUAGCUAGUUGGUGAGGUAAAGGCUCACCAAGGCGACGAUCAGUAGCUGGUCUGAGAGGACGAUCAGCCACACUGGAACUGAGACACGGUCCAGACUCCUACGGGAGGCAGCAGUGGGGAAUUUUGGACAAAGGGCGCAAGCCUGAUCCAGCAAUGCCGCGUGAGUGAAGAAGGCCUUCGGAUUGUAAAGCUCUUUUGUUAGGGAAGAAACGGAGGAGGCUAAUAUCCACGGGUAAUGACGGUACCUGAAGAAUAAGCACCGGCUAACUACGUG